rnacentral:tRNA from 1 species
UGAAGGGUAGCCUAGUGGAAAUGGCACCUGCCCGGUAAGCAGAAGCUGUGGGUUCAAUUCCCGCCCCUGGACACUUUUAU